AAGAUAGAGGUUGCAUGUUUUAAGAGUAGUUCUUUGGAUGUGGCAGGCACAGAGGAAGAGGAAUAAAAGGGAAACAUGCCGAAAGAGGAGAGAACCUGUUUUUCAAGUCUUGGGGAUGCGGUGAAUAACCGUAUAACUGUCAUCCGAAAAGGGAUGGUGCGCUAUCGAG
rnacentral:ncRNA from 1 species